rnacentral:rRNA from 1 species
UACGUAGGGUGCGAGCGUUGUCCGGAAUUAUUGGGCGUAAAGAGCUUGUAGGCGGUUUGUCGCGUCUGCCGUGAAAGCCCAGGGCUUAACCCUGGGUCUGCGGUGGGUACGGGCAGACUAGAGUGUGGUAGGGGAGACUGGAAUUCCUGGUGUAGCGGUGAAAUGCGCAGAUAUCAGGAGGAACACCGGUGGCGAAGGGCGGCCUGCUGGGGCUAUGGCUGACACUGAGGCGCGGACAGCGUGGGGGAGCAAACAGG